AGAUUAUUGUAAUAAAAAUUUAAAGUUUAAUUAAUAAAUUUAAUUAUAGUUUUGAAGUUAGUUUAAAAAUUUAUUUAUAUAUAAUUUUUAGGGGUUAAUAUUAAAAAUAACAUAGGUGUAGUAUAUAAAAUUAAUAAUAUUAAAUAAAUUUAAUUUUAGAAAUUUUUUUUUAUUUAGAUAAAUAAUUGUGCCAGCAAUCGUGGUUAAACAAUUUAAAUAAAUUAAUUUUAUUAAGUUAAAAUAAAAUAUAGUUUUGGUAAUAAAUAAUAAAAUUAUUAGGUGAAAUUAAUUAAUUUUAUUAAAAUUAUAAAAUUUAUAAUUGAAUUUUUAAGGGAUUUUAAAAAAACUAGGAUUAGAUACCCUAUUAUAAAUUUUAAAUAUAAAAAUUUUAAUAUUAAAUGGUAAAUCAUUAAAUUUAAAUAAUUUGGCGGUAUUUUAAUUUUAUUAGAGGAAUUUGUUAAUUAAUUGAUAUUACUCGAUAAGUUAAACUUAAAUAAAAUUUUUAUAUUGUUGUUUWAAGAGUAUUUUUGAAGGAAUUAUUCAAAUUAUUAAUGAAAUAAUAAUUCAGAUCAAAAUGAAGUGUAUAUUUAAGAAUUAAUGAAUUACAAUAAAUUUAAUUUAUAUGAAUUAAAAAUUUAAAAAUUUUUAUGAAGGUGGAUUUAAAAGUAAAAUAAAAUAAUUAUUUUAUUUGAUUUAAAUUUUAAGAUAUGUACAAAUUGCCCGUCGUUCUCUUUGAAAAAGGAGGUAAGUCGUAACAAAGUAAAAGUACUGGAAAGUGUUUUUAGA
rnacentral:ncRNA from 1 species